rnacentral:lncRNA from 1 species
GGUGUAUCAACAUCCUGUCUUGGUACUGUAAGUGCCCACGUUCACCUCUCUGUUCUUCAAACCCUUUUUCUCCUAAAGCCUUCUCUUUGUUCUGGCCGCCUGUCACCAACCUAUAUUUAUGUUUCCUCUAACGUCCAUUUCUAAAGGCUGAUGGGACAGCGUCACUUUGCCACCACGUGAAAGGCAGCUGCAAGAAGGGUCUUGCCACUUCCUAGGUCUGAGUGUAACAGAGACACAUCCUUUCAGUGUCAGCCCGCUGUGCCUCAUAUCAGCAGGCUGCCCCAGCGGGUACAGUAACAGUAUAGUAUACUACACCUUCCAGUACACUUGUCAGAAUGACCAACAGACAAACAGCAUCCUGUAAUGGAUCUGGCAUGUCAUUCAGCCACAGGCAACACCUGGGCCACAGGGAUCCUCAAUGCAACAACACUUACCAGGCCCAACACCUGGGCCACAGGGAUCCUCAAUGCAACAACACUUACCAGGCCCAACACCUGGGCCACAGGGAUCAUCAGUACAACAACACUUACCAGGCCCAACACCUGGGCCACAGGGAUCCUCAAUACAACAACACUUACCAGGCCCAACACCUGGGCCACAGGGAUCCUCAGUACAACAACACUUACCAGGCCCAUCACCUGGGCCACAGGGAUCCUCAAUACAACAACACUUACCAGGCCCAACACCUGGGCCACAGGGAUCCUCAGUACAACAACACUUACCAGGCCCAUCACCUGGGCCACAGGGAUCCUCAAUACAACAACACUUACCAGACCCAACACCUGGGCCACAGGGAUCCCCAAUACAACAACACUUACCAAGCCCAACACCUGGGCCACAGGGAUCCUCAAUACAACAACACUUACCAGGCCCAACGCCUGGGCCACAGGGAUCCUCAAAACAACAACACUUACCAGGCCAAACCCCUGGGCCACAGGGAUCCUCAAUACAACAACACUUACCAGGCCCGACACCUGGGCCACAGGGAUCCUCCUUACUGUAACACUUACUUA